GCCUGGGUGGCUCAGUCGGCUAAGCAAUUGACUUUGGUUCAGUCAUGUUUUCACAGACUGUGGGUUCGAGCCCUGCACCAGGCU
rnacentral:tRNA from 1 species